AAUGAACGCUGGCGGCAUGCCUUACACAUGCAAGUCGAACGGCAGCAUGACCUAGCUUGCUAGGUUGAUGGCGAGUGGCGAACGGGUGAGUAAUGCAUCGGAACGUGCCUUUUAGUGGGGGAUAACGUAGCGAAAGUUACGCUAAUACCGCAUAUUCUCUGAGGAGGAAAGCAGGGGACCUUCGGGCCUUGCGCUAGAAGAGCGGCCGAUGUCGGAUUAGCUAGUUGGUGAGGUAAAGGCUCACCAAGGCAACGAUCCGUAGCGGGUCUGAGAGGAUGAUCCGCCACACUGGGACAGAGACACGGCCCAGACUCCUACGGGAGGCAGCAGUGGGGAAUUUUGGACAAUGGGCGCAAGCCUGAUCCAGCCAUGCCGCGUGAGUGAAGAAGGCCUUCGGGUUGUAAAGCUCUUUCGGCUGGGAAGAAAUCGCACCCUCUAAUACAGGGUGUGGAUGACGGUACCAGCAUAAGAAGCACCGGCUAACUACGUG
rnacentral:rRNA from 1 species